rnacentral:lncRNA from 1 species
ACUGUUGUGUUCAUUUUACAGGUAAGAAAACUAUGACUAAGAAAAACUAACCUUUCAAAGGUUGUCAUUCAAAUCUAUACUUGAAGCAAGAGUAAGAGUGAGCCCUUUUGAACUGAAUCACCAUUCUUCAGAUUUUUUCAAAAGCAUUGUCUUCUUCAUUUUACCAGGGUGAAGGAAUUUUUUAAGGUGAAGAAGGGGUAAAUUAAAAGUAAGUCUUCAUGAAUACUUUGGUUUCUCAUGGAUAUAUGUUUUUAAAAAUUAUGUU